rnacentral:rRNA from 1 species
AAUCAACGCUGGCGGCGUGCCUAACACAUGCAAGUCGAACGAGAAAGUGGAGCAAUCCAUGAGUAAAGUGGCGACCGGGUGAGUAACACGUGACUAACCUACCUUCGAGUGGGGAUAACCUCGGGAAACCGGGCUAAUACCGCAUAACAUCUUUGAAGUGGAAAUUUCGAAGAUCAAAGGAGCAAUUCGCUGGAAGAGGGGGUCGCGGCUGAUUAGCUAGUUGGUGGGGUAACGCCACCAAGGCUUAGAUCGUAGCCGCCUGAGAGGGUGUCCGGCCACACUGGGACUGAGACACUGCCCAGACUCCUACGGGAGGCUGCAGUCGCGAAUCAUUCACAA